CUUGGUAUGGUUAAAGAAGAGGGAAAAACAGUAAUAGGAUAGUCUUAACAAUGUCUACGUGAUUACUCUUCAUUGCCUGCUCUGCCCUGGUGCCAGAAAUCAUCUUAAUUGCACCGUGGCAUGUGAGUGAACCACUGAGCAUGGGGAGCUGCCCGGUGCUAGACGUGCUGUCUGAGAUUGGCAAGAGAGCAGCGGGAGUAAGGAUGUUAAUAGAUCUUUUGUCUAAUACAGACUGCAGCAAUGGGUUUGGGUGACAGAUACCUGGUGUGAAAUAGAGAUAUUUACAGUUUUGAAACAGUGGCCCAGCUUUGUCUUGCCAGCAGGCAGUAUAAAAGAAGAGCAGGCUUGUGUGAAACCACUUGCUCUAGGAGUGAAUUAAUCCUUGUGCUUGGGAAGUGGUGUGAUUUUCCCCCUCUUAAAUUCUGUCACUAAUUUAUUUCUAAAAUAAUGUCAAAUAUAUGGAAAAGAUCCACCUAGUGCCCUAACUGAGGAAGAAAGUGUCUUUUCAAUACUCCUCAUCCAUCCCUGGGGUUUGCCCUGUGGAAUCAGACUGAAGACACAGCUCCCAGGGCUGUAUGUAGGUGCUUUGUGAACAGAGUGUCCAAGGGCAGAACUUUUCAGUGGCAGGACUGUGGGGAAUCCUUGCUGAACCCAGAGCAGCUGACAUGCCUUGAAACUGAAGGGUUCUGUUAUUUUCAGUAAAGUAACAACAAAAGUUUAGGAAACAAAAUGUUUGUUUGCAGUUUGUGGUUUAUUUUUCAAUCACUAGCCUUUUAUCUUGUGUAUGUUUCCGUGUAUGUUGUUACUAUAUGGAAAGAAAAGUGGUGGUGGUGGGAUGUGUGUCAGGAAAAUGCAAGUAGUGAGGUUAAGCUUUCUUCAAAUACUAAAUAUUUGAGAUUCUAAAGAAAACUUAAGUGCUUCUUCCAGUGUACUUUACAGCUAUAUGGUAAUUUUGGAUAGUAGUUGUUGAAUCUGAAAGCUUGUUUUUUAAUUUUAUUUUUUAUCCUAUUUAUAAUCUAUAGUGACAGACCAGAUGAUUUGACAUUGUGUGAAUGUGUUUGGUGAUCAGUCUCAGCUUUUCCCCCUGUUGUAUUAAUCAUUAGGCUAAUACAAUCAUCACUGUUGAUCUCAUGUAAAAAAGAGUAGUGUAGGUGUCCUAAAGGGGUCCCUUCAGUUUGCCAUUCUUUGCCUUUUUUAAUGUUUCUGCUGGGGAAAAAACCCCUCAGCAACUGCUAGACUCCUUUCUCUUGGCUCUCCAACAUAAAUCCUCUUUUAACCUUUUAGGCAGGGCUGAGGGUUUCACCACCAAGAUUUUAUAUUUAAUGUAGAAUGACUAAUGCCUGCUGGCAUCACUUGCACACCUCAUGACUCCCCUCAGCCCUGCCUCCCCGGACAAGGACUGCAUGCUGCGGGAUAUUUUGGGUGGCCUUGUGUUGUACCCUACUUUGUGUCUGGCAGCAAUAAUACCUCAUCUUCUGUGCUGUGUAACCAAGGAUUAAGAGGAAUUAGACAGGAUCUCCAGUUUGUGUGUUUAACCCUUCAGGGGGUGGCUUCCUUGAAGGGAGUUGUGGCCCUAUGUAUGUAAUUUAUAGGUUUAUGUAUCAUCUAUGCCAGCUGAGAGAGGGUAACACUUUGGGAGGUGAGCUCCUUGUUCAGUUCAACAUCUUUCGUAUACUUUAAAUAGGAUCAUAGCUCCCAAGGAAGGGAGGAGAAGGGUGUAAAUGAGGAAGGUAUAUAAGCCUCAAAUGAAAGAUUUUGUGGUGGUAUUGAUUUGAAAAUGGAAAUACAUGGAGAGGCAGAUCAAUGGUCCUGUUAGUGCUUUUUACCUGGGAAUAUUAAUGUCCUCUCAAAAGAGGGGGAUUGUCUUCAUUUGCAGGGUGAAAUGGGACUCUGGGUUUUCUUCUGCACUGCAUUUGUAGCUUCAUCUUGGGAGUGCUUCAUGACUGCUGUGGGCACACAGUUUGUGGUGAUUGGGAUGGGACAGCUGAGCUUCAUCCCCAGUGGGCACAGCUGUGAGCAGCAGGUGAGCAGCACUGACAGCAGUGAGCCAGGGAGUGCCCAGGGCACUGACCAACCACCAAAGGAGCAGAGGGCACACAGAUGUAGUGCAUCAACAUCAGGGGAUAAAAGGCUGGGCUGAAGGACAGGAAGGGCAGAUGCUGGCAGCCUUCUCAAGUGGUGUGGUGUGACUGUGUGUGGGUCGAAGCCUUCUGGGAUUGUAUGGUGAUAUUUUGUGUAUUGUGGUCAUCUCAGCUGAGACAUAUUGACAUGGUUGGGAAUCUUGGACUUCCAAGCUGGGCAAGUGUUUCUUCCUUAUUCAGCCCUUCUCUCGACUCUCAGCUCUCACCGCCUGGAUUGCAGAUGUUCCUGCUGUGUCCACAUCAGGGAUGAUGGAAAGAGGCAACAAAUGACCUACAGAAACUAGCCAAUUGAAUUAUGGAAAAUAUGCAAACACACAUUGUCUUCUGCUCUUCUCCCAAGCAAAAAGAAUUCCUUGCAAGCUGUAAUGCCUCCCAGAAUUUAAGGACUGGUGUGCUGUGGCUGAUCCCUGCCUCCAUGUGUCAGAGGGGGUGGUUUCCACUGAUCUGAUACCUGUUUGGUGCCUCCAGGAGGUAACCUAAAGGUGAAAGGCUGUGGGCCUCUCCCCAGCUGUUGUUCUGUCUGGUCCUUCUGUCAGAAAUGCUUCUG